ACUACGGGUGGCAGCAGUGAGGAAUAUUGGUCAAUGGCCGGAAGGCUGAACCAGCCAAGCCGCGUGAAGGACGACGGUGCCAAGCAUUGUAAACUUCUUUUGUCAAGGGACCACAUCAGGCUCGAGCGCCUGACCGAGGGUACUUGAAGAAAAAGCAUCGGCUAACUCCGUGCCAGCAGCCGCGGUAAUACGGGGGAUGCGAGCGUUAUCCGGAUUUAUUGGGUUAAAAGGGUGCGUAGGCGGACUGUUAAGUCCGCGGUCAAAGCCCGGGGCGAAACACCGGCGAGCCGUUGAAACGGGCUGUCUUGAGAUGUCGAGAGGUAUGCGGAAUGCGCAGUGUAGCGGUGAAAUGCUUAGAUAUUGCGCAGAACUCCGAUUGAGAAGGCAGCAUACCGGCGGCGAUCUGACGCUGAGGCACGAAAGCGUGGGUAGCGAACAGGAUUAGAUACCCGUGUAGUC
rnacentral:rRNA from 1 species